rnacentral:rRNA from 1 species
CCUACGGGUGGCAGCAGUGAGGAAUAUUGGGCAAUGGACGAGAGUCUGAACCAGCCAAGUAGCGUGAAGGAUGACGGCCCUAUGGGUGGUAAACUUCUUUUAUAUGGGAAUAAAAUGGUCCACGUGUGGGAUUUUGUAUGUACCAUAUGAAUAAGGAUCGGCUAACUCCGUGCCAGCAUCCGCGGUAAUACGGAGGAUCCGAGCGUUAUCCGGAUUUAUUGGGUUUAAAGGGAGCGUAGGUGGAUUGUUAAGUCAGUUGUGAAAGUUUGCGGCUCAACCGUAAAAUUGCAGUUGAAACUGGCAGUCUUGAGUACAGUAGAGGUUGGCGGAAUUCGUGGUGUAGCGGUGAAAUGCUUAGAUAUCACGAAGAACUCCGAUUGCGAAGGCAGCUCACUGGACUGCAACUGACACUGAGGCUCGAAAGUGUGGGUAUCAAACAGGAUUAGAUACCCGAGUAGUC